GUGUCCUUAGCUCAGCUGGACAGAGCAACAGCCUUCUAAGCUGUGGGUCGGGGGUUCGAAUCCUCCAGGACACACCA
rnacentral:tRNA from 1 species